AUAUAUUUGAAAUGCUUUAGAAUUGAGAAAAUAUGAUUGGAAAGGAUUAGAUGAGAAAGUAUUAUUUGAUUUAAUUUGAUUUGAUAUCUCGUAUGUUUGAAAGACUGAAGAAUUGAUUAUAUUCAAAAUUAUAUGUUUUGAAUUAGUUUAGGAGGCUCGCAUUAGAAAACCGUAGUUAACGGCGGUUAUAACGUUAACUUAGAUGCAUCUAACUCAGACUCCAGCUAGCAGGGGUGUUGCUAGCCUAACGUGUAGGCCACACGUUAGAUCUGUUAUUCUGUUAGGACACACAAGAGGAAAGGGCUACCCAUAGAGGUGGAGCCGCCCAGGUGUUGACUUUUGAUUUGAUUUCUGUAUGAGAACUCCCUUAUUGAUUCACUUAUUAUUAUCAACUAUUAUUUUCUAAUUAAAAUUACUUUGAUGAUAAUGUUUGUAUAGUCUCAUGUUGAUUAUAGAUGUAUUGUCUGGUCAUUGAGUUGCAAAACUCACCCCGUUUUUCUAAAAAUAUUUUUCAGGAACAAAUAUUUGACUAUGUGAGAUUUUCUAUUCAAGAGUAACGGUCUGCAAUGAGUACCUAUUCUUUGUCGAAUUCCUAGAAGUAUAUGCUCCAUAUGUCACAGGCAGGACCAACCAUUCUUAGUUAUUUUAAUUUUUUUUGUUAAAAAUAUAUAACUAUUUAUUUUAGAACUUGUAAAAUAUUUGUAUUUGCUUAUUGAACUUAUAUUUGACUAUGUUAGGCUUGCUAUAGGAUUAUUUUCCUGAGCGCCGGUCAUGACUCAUUUUGGGUCAUGACAGAGUGGUAUCAGAGCUUAGGUUUAAUCUGUGUAAUAUGGAGCAAGUGUCCUAUGGUAGGAUCACAAUUGUAUAAAUAGAAGCGCGCCUAUUUGUACGAAUUGUGGCACUAUCAGAGGCCUAUAGGAUUAUCAUUCUUGUCCUUUAUGUCGUUGUUGUCAUCUGGUUGUUAUCAUAUGACCUCUGCUGCUUCUUGCUACUCUUUUCCUUUCCUGCCGCUUCUUGCGAUUCUUUUCCUUCCCUUUGUACCCAAUCUCGGCUUAUUCUCUAAUAGAUUUAAAGUUUGUGAAAUUUUUUCAUGAAAAUAGAAUGUUUUGAGUAAUGGUACAUAAUAUGAAUUGAUAUUUAGCCCCAAUUUUAUCAACUUUAAGACAUUAAAUCAUUAUAUUGUUAUAGAUUUUGUUCGAUCUUUAAUUGUUAUGAUCCGUUUGAAAUGUGUGUUUAUUUAGUUUCUAGUUAAACAAAUGUUAAAUAAGUUUGCUAACUAUAAUACGGAUGAUAGAUAUAUAAUUGAUUUUAAAGAAACUAAAUCCAUAGUAUGAGUUUCUUUGAGAAAGUUGUCUUUGUCCAAGAUCAUUGAAAUUUCCAUAGUUGAUAUUAACAUUUGGAUGUUAACCAGAUUGAGUGCUAAAGUUCUAUACUUAGUAUAAGUGUUGUAUAAAAAACACAUUUGAGCUUCACUCAGGUAGAAUCUUCUUGUUUAUAUGUUAUUAAGUGAAUACGUCUCUUAGAUUAUAUGUGAUUUCUAAUUUUAUAGACUUGUUUGCUAAGCUUGUGGACUGAUCAUGGUGAUUAUGAAGCAUUUGAUGAUUAUUUUAAAUGUGAUAAAUUGUAGCUUGCCUAUGAGUGUUAGCCAUUGAUUACAUACUUGUUUGCUGAUUCAUGUCAUUUGAUUAGUGAUUAUUAUAGUAAUUAACAAGUAAAUGAUUUUGGUUAAUUAUUUUUGAGAGAUCCAUAAGGUUAUUGGUUGUUGCUGCUGUAUAGGAGUUAAUCUUAUUAUUUGUUGCUGAAUUGGUGACUGAUGUGAUUGUAACUAGGUGAAUCUUGGUUGUUAUCUUGUAAAAAUUUCUAUUGAAAGGCGGUAAUAAACACUCUUAAUUGCUUGUGUUGUUGUUGGAGAUUAUAUGCCUGAUUUGUAGUUAUAUAUGGCGGAUUAAUAAAUGUUUUGAUUUCUUUGAUACGAUGAGGGCUUGAUAAUUUCGAAUUGAAGUUUGUCAUGAUAAACUUGUGAUCUGUAUAAUACUUUUGCGACACACUUGAGCAUCUGAAUUUUUUCCCUUCAAAAUUAAUUAUUUUAUUGACUAGAAAAGUUGUUCCAACUCUUUCAGCAUGUUAUUCUAACUUUUACUCAAUAUUAUCUCAUUGGUGGUCCAUUAUAUGAUGCUUAACGUAAAAGUUAGUUACUCUAGUCAGCACUAUAAGAUUUAUGUAAAAAAAGUUUAGUAUUGCAUUCACAUUCUCAGUAAAAAAAAAUGUUUAAUGACCUUGCCUUGUUUAUUUUUCUUUUUUUUACAUUGUUUUUUUUAAACCUAAUUAGUUUUUAACAUGGCAAAACUAUCAAGUAUUGUGCUUAUCAUAUAAUUUGUGUUACGUGACUGUUUCUUUUAUAUAUAGGAUUAUCGUGUUUCUAUUUUUAGGGUGGCACAUUUUUGAUAAUUUUCUGAUGAAUGUUCAUUUUGCUUUGCUUUAUUUGUGGGUUUAGCUUAUCUGUUCACAUGCCGUGUCUAAUUAUGUUUUUUUUUCUUUCCUUUUCUCUAGUUUAAAUUGUUGUUGUACAUGCAAAACUUUUUAUGUCUAUUAUUCAUACUCAUGAAUUUUUAUUUUGCUCUGCCCAAAUUGUUUGUGGAUUUGGCUUGUUUCUUCAUUUUUUUCCCUUUAAAAUGUUCCUAGCCUGUAGUUUUAAUUGUGGUAGUACAUCUUUUUAUUUACCUCUAUGGCCUUUGCCCUUACAAAGUUACAAUUAUGUUUUUGUACGUAUUUUGAAAGCUGUGUUGUGUUACUUUGUAGUGACACACCGACGAUUUCUUUGGAUUUUAAGUAAUGCCAAGCAUCAUAAAUGUUUUUGUCAAUAAACUAUUUUUGUUACUAUAUAAUUUUCUCAAAUGAUCGGUUAAUGGAUGCAGAUGCUUUAUAUGCUUCUGGUGAUUGUGUGAUUGCAAACUAUGUGCUCUAGUGUAAUAAAUUUACCAGCUUGUCCUUUUACAGCCUGUUGAGCUUUGAUUCAUUUGUUUUAAUAAUGAAAGGCAGUGAGAUAAAUUAGUUUUGUACUUUUGGCUGGAUCAUCUUGGCUGAUAGGAUUGUUGUUUUUGUUAUGUAGUUUUGAAUUCUAGUGAUAUUUAGUAGCUGGCUCUGUAUUAAGUUACUCCUUCCUACUGAUGGUUUCAAAAAAAAGGAGGUUUUUCUUUUUCUGUUUUUGUUUCAUUUGCAGAAUCAAAUUUUUAUUAUCCCAUUAGUUUUGUUGAUUAUCUAACUAUGUCGCAGAUUCUACUUUGUUUGUCCAAUAAGGAUUUUAAUUGAUUAAAGAGUCUCUGCAUUAAGGGUUUUGUGUUAAGUUGUUCCUUUUUGACCAAAUUUUCCCUUGGUAACAAUCACAGUGUAUUUUGAAUAUUGUCUGUUAGAAAUUCUGAAAAUCGACUGUUUUACUACUAGUACUUUGCCUUGGUUCAUAGCCCACAUCUUAGGUUGAUAUUUCUUCAUACGUUAAGGGUUUGAUAUCAGUUGUACUAUUAUUCUUUAAAUUUGCACAUCAUGAUCUAAGUACAAUUUAUUUUAAAUUGUAUCAACCAUUUUUCUUCCAAAGAUAUAUAGGCUUUGCAAAGUUCUUAACAUGAUCGAAUUUCUGAGGCAGUCACAUUGAUUCACUAGUCUGCUGCUUAACUGAUCCUAUGUUGUAUGACCUUUUUGAGACAUCACUUUGCUGGUUUCAAGUUGCUCAGGAUUGCAACUAAUUGGAAUAUGUUGUCACCUGUCGAUAUUCUUGAGUUUCACUAAAUCUGUGGUUCUAUUACUCCCUGAGUGCGCUGCAUUGUAAUGGUGGUUGUGUAAUGAAAUUCGAAACUUUGCUAGAUUGGUGGCAUUGUUUCCCAACUAAUGGCAUUUUGUUUGUUUAUCAAUGCUAUGUUUGAGUAAGCAGAACUAUUCAUACUAAUAUGCUGUUUUCACAAUGCCCUUAAAGAACCUUGUAGAUCGAUUAAAUUCCUUCCUUCUGUUUAACCUUCCUAUCUCUUAUCACCUGACAUUUAAGGUUAAUAUGCAUAAUAUGAUUUGAAAAUGUUUUGCUGGCUAUAUCUUGCAUGCUUGGUUUGAUGUGUUGGUUAUGUUUGUCUAUAAGUUUGGAAUAUGGCCAUGUAUAUUCUGCUUAAUUCUUCACCUUGCCUCUCUCCUUUCUCAUCCUUAUCCACCACAUAACUGUACUCGAACUCUUAGAAUCUCAUAUGACUGCUUUUUAAUUAUUGUUUUAUGUUUUGGGUGUAUUGUUAGAAUUUGUGUUACUCUAUAUGUUUUACACUUUUGGCUAUGUUAUUUGGACUCCAAUUAGAGUUUGUAGUGUGCUUUUGAAAAAUUUCAUAUCAAUCUAAUUAUGCAAUCUGUUCUUUGUGAUUGAUGGUGCUUCAUAUCGAUUCCUUUUGCUACAUUGUAUAUGUGAAUAUUAAAAAAAAAUAUACAACAUUUGAUCGUUGCAUAAUAUCUGCAAAAUGUUUUUCUUUAUGCAUUGGGUUCAAUUUGUAUCUGGAUGUGAUAUUGUAUAGUUAAAGUGCUUAAGUUCUUUCCUGCAACUUUGCUCAGAUAGCUUGAUUUUUAGCUUUGUUCUUGCUAUCUAUUUGUGCAAGUUAUUAAACUUAUGGUGUCAUGAUGUGGCUAUACUUUCGGAUAAGGUUGUCUCAAUGUUGUGCGUUAUCUUGUAGUGUUUUAAUUAUAUGCUUGGCCUUUAUCGUCUUUAGAUGGAAGAUACGAAGAAAAGGUAGUGUAAUGAAUGACUAUGAGGAAGAUCUACAAUUGUCUUUGUUUGAUAUGUCCACAAUUUCUUCGGCAACAAAUAAUUUUUCAACUGAUAAUAUUUUGGGAAAAGGUGGCUUUGGUUCGGUAUAUAAGGGUGUAUUAAAGGAUGGAAAAGAAAUAGCAGUUAAGAGACUCUUACAGAAUUCAAGCCAAGGAAUCCAAGAGUUCAAAAAUGAAGUUAUGCAUAUUGCCAAACUUCAGCACAGAAAUUUAGUGAAACUCCUAGGAUGUUGCGUUUAUGCAGAAGAAAGAUUGCUAGUCUAUGAAUUUAUGCUUAACAAAAGCUUGGAUUACUUCAUAUUUGAUGAAAAGAAGAGCAUGUUACUAGAUUGGACAAUGCGCUUUGACAUUAUCAAUGGGAUUGCUCGAGGUCUUCUUUAUCUUCAUCAAGAUUCAAGACAUAGAAUAGUUCAUAGAGAUCUCAAAGCUGCCAAUGUUUUGUUAGACGGUGAAAUGAAUCCAAAGAUUUCAGACUUUGGACUAGCUAGAAGUUUCGGAGGGAACGAAACUAAAGCAAACACUCGGCAUGUUGUUGGAACUUACGGAUAUUUAUCACCCGAGUAUAUAAUUGAUGGAGUUUACUCAACUAAAUCCGAUGUAUUCAGUUUUGGUGUAUUGGUGUUAGAAAUAGUGAGUGGGAAUAGAAAUAGAGGAUUCACUCAUCAAGAUCAUAACUUUAAUCUUCUAGGACAUGCAUGGAAACUAUUUAUGGAAGACAAAGGGUACGAUUGUACGAAAUAAUUUAUGCUCGAAUAAAAGAUACAUCAAAUUUAUCUUCGAUGCUAAGAUCAAUUCAUGUGGGACUGCUUUGUGUGCAAAAAAGUCCAUUAUGUCAUCUGUUGUUCAAAUGUUGAGUAGUGAAUCCACACUACCUCCACCUAAAAUGCCUGGGUUCUUCACAGAAAGAGAAAUGAUUGAUGAAAAUUCUUCUCCAAGUAAUAACAGAACAUGCUCAAUCAAUGAUGUCACAGACAGCAUAUUGGAGGUUAGAUAGUUACUGCAACAAACGGCCAACCAGCUCUCACGUGCUCAAAGCAAAUGUGGGUUCCGAAAAUAAGAUGAUCAAGAGACUUGUGUUGAAAUAUAUAUAGUCUUCAUGAAUGCAAUUCUUCUAAAUCUGUUUUCAAUUAUUAUAAAGAGAAAUAAAACAAUCUACAUAUAAUCUCUUCUAGUCCACUUCAGCACUUGUCUAUUAAUAAGUAGGUGUCCCAAUUACAUUAGAUAA